CCUACGGGCGGCAGCAGUGGGGAAUAUUGCACAAUGGGCGAAAGCCUGAUGCAGCAACGCCGCGUGAGCGAUGAAGGCCUUCGGGUCGUAAAGCUCUGUCCUCAAGGAAGAUAAUGACGGCACUUGAGGAGGAAGCCCCGGCUAACUACGUGCCAGCAGCCGCGGUAAUACGUAGGGGGCUAGCGUCAUCCGGAAUUAUUGGGGGUAAAGGGUGCGUGGGUGGUUUCUUAGGUCAUAGGUGAAAGGCUGCGGCUAAACCGUAGUAAGCCUUUGAAAUUGGGGUACUUGAGUGCAGGAGAGGAAGGUGGAAUUCCUAGUGUAGCGGUGAAAUGCGUAGAUAUUAGGAGGAACACCAGUUGCGAAGGCGGCUCUCUGGACUGUAACUGACACUGAGGCACGAAAGCGUGGGGAGCAAACAGGAUUAGAUACCCCUGUAGUC
rnacentral:rRNA from 1 species